rnacentral:rRNA from 1 species
GAUGAACGCUGGCGGCGUGCCUAAUACAUGCAAGUCGAGCGAACGGACGAGAAGCUUGCUUCUCUGAUGUUAGCGGCGGACGGGUGAGUAACACGUGGAUAACCUACCUAUAAGACUGGGAUAACUUCGGGAAACCGGAGCUAAUACCGGAUAAUCUUUUGAACCGCAUGGUUCAAAAGUGAAAGACGGUCUUGCUGUCACUUAUAGAUGGAUCCGCGCUGCAUUAGCUAGUUGGUAAGGUAACGGCUUACCAAGGCAACGAUGCAUAGACGACCUGAGAGGGUGAUAGGCCACACUGGAACUGAGACACGGUCCAGACGCCUACGGGAGGCAGCAGUAGGGAAUCUUCCGCAAUGGGCGAAAGCCUGACGGAGCAACGCCGCGUGAGAGAUGAAGGUCUUCGGAGCGUAAAACUCUGUUAUUAGGGAAGAACAUAUGUGUAAGUAACUGUGCACAGCUUGACGGUACCUAAUCAGAAAGCCACGGCUAACUACGUG